rnacentral:rRNA from 1 species
AUGAACGCUAGCGGGAGGCCUAACACACGCAAGCCGAGCGGUAGAAAGUAGCUUGCUACUUUUGAGAGCGGCGUACGGGUGCGUAACACGUGUGCAACCUGCCUUUAUCUGGAGAAUAGCCUUUCGAAAGGAAGAUUAAUGCUCCAUAACAUAUUGAAUGGCAUCAUUUAAUAUUGAAAGCUCCGGCGGAUAGAGAUGGGCACGCGCAAGAUUAGUUAGUUGGUGAGGUAACGGCUCACCAAGGCGAUGAUCUUUAGGGGGCCCGAGAGGGUGAUCCCCCACACUGGUACUGAGACACGGACCAGACUCCUACGGGAGGCAGCAGUGAGGAAUAUUGGACAAUGGGAGAAAGCCUGAUCCAGCCAUCCCGCGUGAAGGAUGACGGCCCUAUGGGUUGUAAACUUCUUUUGUAUAGGGAUAAACCUACCCUCGUGAGGGUAGCUGAAGGUACUAUACGAAUAAGCACCGGCUAACUCCGUGCCAGCCGCCGCCGUAA